UACAGAAUCAUUACCACUGCAUAGUUUAAUCUCAUCAGACCACAAAAUCUAAGCAAGUCUGGGCCUGGUCAGUACUGAGAUGGGAGACCUCUAAUGAAAGCAAGGUGGCUUCUGUGA
rnacentral:rRNA from 1 species